AUUUGAGACCGGCGCACGGGUGCGUAACGCGUAUGCAAUCUACCUUUUACAGAGGGAUAGCCCAGAGAAAUUUGGAUUAAUACCUCAUAGUAUAGUGAGUUGGCAUCAACACACUAUUAAAGUCACAACGGUAAAAGAUGAGCAUGCGUNCCCAUUAGCUAGUUGGUAAGGUAACGGCUUACCAAGGCAACGAUGGGUAGGGGUCCUGAGAGGGAGAUCCCCCACACUGGUACUGAGACACGGACCAGACUCCUACGGGAGGCAGCAGUGAGGAAUAUUGGUCAAUGGGCGCAAGCCUGAACCAGCCAUGCCGCGUGCAGGAUGACGGUCCUAUGGAUUGUAAACUGCUUUUGCACAGGAAGAAACAYUCGGUCGUGACCGAGCUUGACGGUACUGUGAGAAUAAGGAUCGGCUAACUCCGUGCCAGCAGCCGCGGUAAUACGGAGGAUCCAAGCGUUAUCCGGAAUCAUUGGGUUUAAAGGGUCCGUAGGCGGCCAGAUAAGUCAGUGGUGAAAGCCCAUCGCUCAACGAUGGAACGGCCAUUGAUACUGUUUGGCUUGAAUUAUUUGGAAGUAACUAGAAUAUGUAGUGUAGCGGUGAAAUGCUUAGAGAUUACAUGGAAUACCAAUUGCGAAGGCAGGUUACUACAAAUUGAUUGACGCUGAUGGACGAAAGCGUGGGUAGCGAACAGGAUUAGAUACCCUGGUAGUCCACGCCGUAAACGAUGGAUACUAGCUGUUGGGAGCAAUCUCAGUGGCUAAGCGAAAGUGAUAAGUAUCCCACCUGGGGAGUACGUUCGCAAGAAUGAAACUCAAAGGAAUUGACGGGGGCCCGCACAAGCGGUGGAGCAUGUGGUUUAAUUCGAUGAUACGCGAGGAACCUUACCAAGGCUUAAAUGUAGAUUGACCGGUUUGGAAACAGACUUUUCGCAAGACAAUUUACAAGGUGCUGCAUGGUUGUCGUCAGCUCGUGCCGUGAGGUGUCAGGUUAAGUCCUAUAACGAGCGCAACCCCUGUUGUUAGUUGCCAGCGAGUCAUGUCGGGAACUCUAGCAAGACUGCCAGUGUAAACUGUGAGGAAGGUGGGGAUGACGUCAAAUCAUCACGGCCCUUACGCCUUGGGCUACACACGUGCUACAAUGGCCGGUACAGAGAGCAGCCACUACGCAAGUAGGAGCGAAUCUACAAAACCGGUCUCAGUUCGGAUCGGAGUC
rnacentral:rRNA from 1 species